rnacentral:rRNA from 1 species
UACGUAGGGCGCAAGCGUUGUCCGGAUUCAUUGGGCGUAAAGGGUGCGUAGGCGGCGCGGUAAGUCGGGUGUGAAAUCUUGGAGCUUAACUCCGAAACUGCAUUCGAUACUGCCGUGCUUGAGGACUGGAGAGGAGACUGGAAUUUACGGUGUAGCAGUGAAAUGCGUAGAUAUCGUAAGGAAGACCAGUGGCGAAGGCGAAUCUCUGGACAGUUACUGACACUGAGGCACGAAGGCCAGGGGAGCAAACGGG